CCUAGUUUUCGUGUCCAACGUUUGAUCGUCCGUCUUAUUUAAAAAAGUUAUGAAAAAAAUUAAAAAGACAAGUCACGUAUAAAAUAUUAAUCAUGUUUUAUCAUCUAACAAUAAUAAAAAUAUAAAUUAUAAAAAAAUUUCAUAUAAGAUGGACAGCCAAAGUUGAAUACGAAAUCCCAGUGUUUGACUUUUU
rfam:Oryza glumipatula chromosome 6, whole genome shotgun sequence.